AUGCAGUCGAACGGACUUAUGGAAGCUUGCUUCUAUAAGUUAGUGGCGCACGGGUGAGUAACGCGUAGGUAACCUGCCCCUAAGCCUGGGAUAACAUGUCGAAAGACAUGCUAAUACCGGAUAAGCUCCUGAUGUCAGCGAUGGCAUAGGGAGAAAAGAUGGCCUCUGUUUCAUGCUAUCACUAAGGGAGGGGCCUGCGUCCCAUUAGCUAGUUGGUGCGGUAACGGCGUACCAAGGCUAUGAUGGGUAACCGGCUUGAGAGAGUGGUCGGUCACACUGGAACUGAGACACGGUCCAGACUCCUACGGGAGGCAGCAGUAGGGAAUAUUCCGCAAUGGGCGAAAGCCUGACGGAGCGACGCCGCGUGUGUGAUGAAGGCCUUCGGGUUGUAAAGCACUGUCAAGAGGGAAGAACAGUACGAUAUCUAAUAUAUUUCGUAUUUGACGGUACCUCUGGAGGAAGCCCCGGCUAAUUACGUG
rnacentral:rRNA from 1 species